ensembl:lncRNA
CCUGUCUUCUUUGAGUUCCUUCCUAACACUCCUUCAGAGAAGGCAUAAUCACUUGAACCUCUAAUAUCCUUAUUAGUCUUUCCUAAUAUUGAACUUGGUACACUGGCAGUAUAUAAGCAUUCCAGUUGCUGGUCUCAUAUUGGUAUUAUCAGUUUUUCCCUUUAACUUUAGCCUUUCUAAAGGUGUAGUGCAGUUCUGUGUUGUCUUGGAUUCUGCAUUUGUCUAUUUGGCAUUCGUUAAUCACAGGACCACACAAAUUUUGUGUAUGUUUCUUCUGGAUCCAGCUUUUGCAAGCAAAUCCUAUUCCAAACCUCUAACCAAUCCCAAAUCCAUAUCCCCAAUUUUUUCCUUUUAAUACAGGGUCUUGCUAUGUAGUUCAUGCUGACCUCGAGCUCACUAUGUAGCCCAAGAUGGCCUCAAACUCUCAAUGAUUCUCCUGCAUCAGCCUCCUGAGUGCUAGGAUUACAAGUGUGUGCCACCGUACCCAGCUCCUUACUUCUUGUUUGUUUUUUCAGUAUUAGGGAUUGAAUCCAGGGUUUUGUGCAUUCUAGGAACCCCAAUAAAGGCUAUUACUCAUGUUUUCCUCUUGCUCCUUACUAAAGCUGGCGUUCCCCAGCUGCCCUGCUGACAUGCUCUGGAAGAAAUUAAAAAUAUUUUGGUACUGGGGAUCGAACUCAGGACCUUGAGCUUGCAAGGAGGUUGCCCACCUUUCCACAACCCAGAAUCAAGGACCAGAGGAGGCUAUCCGGAGUCUGGAGAAUAGACCUCAAGUUGUUUUGCCCAGAACAGCAUUUAAACCAAAAGAGGUGGAGAUUUUUGUCAAUUGGCAAUUCAAAGUCCCAACCAAGUGUUGUAUUGGGGUGAUGCAGAAGAUUUCAUUGGUUAUAGAAAAUAAACGUUUCAUGGUACAUGGGAUUGUGUGAUUUUGUAACCACACUGCUGUUAUAAAU